rnacentral:rRNA from 1 species
UGGGGAAUCUUGCGCAAAUGCGGGAAACCGUGACGCAGCGACGCCGCGUGGGGGAAGAAGGCCUUCGGGUUGUAAACCUCUUUCAGGAGGGACGAAGCUACUCGGGUUAAUAGCCCAGAGGGUGACGGUACCUUCAGAAGAAGCCCCGGCUAACUACGUGCCAGCAGCCGCGGUAAUACGUAGGGGGCUAGCGUUGUCCGGAUUUAUUGGGCGUAAAGAGCGUGUAGGCGGCCAGACAAGUCUGCUGUGAAAACUCGAGGCUCAACCUCGAGCUGUCGGCGGAAACUGUUUGGCUAGAGUCCGGAAGAGGAGAGUGGAAUUCCUGGUGUAGCGGUGAAAUGCGCAGAUAUCAGGAAGAACACCUAUGGCGAAGGCAGCUCUCUGGGACGGUACUGACGCUGAGACGCGAAAGCGUGGGGAGCGAACAGGAUUAGAUACCCUGGUAGUCCACGCCGUAAACGAUGGGUGCUAGGUGUGGGCGGUGUCGACUCCGUCCGUGCCGAAGCUAACG